CACCGGGGUUAGAGAGCAUUGGUGGGUGGCCCACCUCUACCUCCUGAGUGUACACCACCACCUGCCUGGCCUGGCUUUUUGACCUAAUGCUCAGGUCCUGGUGCUUGUGAGCUCCUGCCCUGAGUUCCUGCCCUGACUACCCUGGAUGAUGAUCUGUACAUGGAAAUGUAAGGAAAAUCGACUCUACAUCCCAAGUUGCUUUUGGCCAUGGUGUUUUAUCACAGCAAUAGAAAUCCCAAGACAAAGCCUUAUGCCAUGUUCAUACCUAUGUGUAGGGGCACAAAAGUGUUUUCUUCUAAGAAUAUGUCCUUAAGAAAAUUUAUUAUCUCAUAUUAAAAACAACUGUUAGCAGAAAAGCCA